AUCCAGGACCCCUUGGCGCCUUAGUGCGCUAUUGAGCCUUUAAUAACUAUACCCAAAAGAAUGCAAAGCUUUUUUCUUCACCAAUAAAAGAAAAUAUUGAAACAAGAGAACAAACCAUUAAAUACAAUUACAAAAAUGAGGUCUCCCCUAACAAAUAAAUUAGUGCGCCAUUGAGCCUUUAAUAACUAUGCCCAAAAGAAUCCAAGGCAUUUUCCUUCACCGAUAAAAGAAAAUAUUGAAACAAGAGAAGAAACCAUUAAAUACAAUUACAAAAAUGAG
rnacentral:misc_RNA from 1 species